GAAUGUCCUGUAUAUCAAGGAUAUAUAUAAUAACCCUUUCAGAAUGUACUGUAUAUGAAGGAUAUAUAUAAUAACCCUUUCAGAAUGUACUGUAUAUGAAGGAUAUAUAUAAUAACCCUUUCAGAAUGUCCUGUAUAUGAAGGAUAUAUAUAAUAACCCUUUCAGAAUGUCCUGUAUAUGAAGGACAUGUAAUAACCCUUUCAGAAUGUACUGUAUAUGAAGGAUAUAUAUAAUAACCCUUUCAGAAUGUCCUGUAUAUGAAGGAUAUAUAUAAUAACCCUUUCAGAAUGUCCUGUAUAUGAAGGAUAUAUAUGUAAUAACCCUUUCAGAAUGUACUGUAUAUGAAGGAUAUAUAUAUGUAAUAACCUGUGCCAGGAAGAGGUUCAUAGAAAACAUGUGUGGGAGCCUCUUGAACUUCUUACUGAGGAGAAUGACAGCGAUGGUCCACACCUACAAACACAAACACGAUGUGUUUCAGUGUAUCCAGUGUUUAAAUACAGCUCAAACCCACUCAAGUUGUCAAAAGUCUUUGCAGAGUAGAAUAGAUUAAUAGAUUCAUUAAAGCUGCAUUCUACACCAUGGAUACAGUAAGCCCUGAUAAACACCAUGGAUACAGUAAGCCCUGAUAAACACCAUGGAUACAGUAAGCCCUGAUAAACACCAUGGAUACAGUAAGCCCUGAUAAACACCAUGGAUACAGUAAGCCCUGAUCAACACCAUGGAUACAGUAAGCCCUGAUAAACACCAUGGAUACAGUAAGCCCUGAUAAACACCAUGGAUACAGUAAGCCCUGAUAAACACCAUGGAUACAGUAAGCCCUGAUAAACACCAUGGAUACAGUAAGCCCUGAUAAACACCAUGGAUACAGUAAGCCCUGAUAAACACCAUGGAUACAGUAAGCCCUGAUAAACACCAUGGAUACAGUAAGCCCUGAUAAACACCAUGGAUACAGUAAGCCCUGAUAAACACCAUGGAUACAGUAAGCCCUGAUAAACACCAUGGAUACAGUAAGCCCUGAUAAACACCAUGGAUACAGUAAGCCCUGAUAAACACCAUGG
rnacentral:lncRNA from 13 species